AACAAAACAUGUUUAUUUAUUGUUUAUAUAGAAUAUAAAUACAAGUGUGACUGGUCAUUUUAUUCAGUUUUGACCACUGAUUCAUGUGAUAUAUAUUUUGUUUAUAUUUAUUUCACAACAUUGUCCAGUUUAUCAGACAAGUUUUGAUGUCAGUUGUAUUAUUCCAGGGUACUGGAUGGACAGCAUUAAUGUUUGCUGCCAGGGUAGGACACCUGGAGAUCUGUAGACUUCUCAUUGAUACAGGAUGUAAGAUCGACACCACACAAUGGGAUGAAUACACAGCUUUACAUUGGGCUGCUAGGUAUGGACAUCUACAGAUCACAAGAUGUCUAGUAGAAGGAGGUGCCAGUCCCUUGGUUACAACACAUGAGGGUCAGACGCCAUACGAUCUAGCAGCAGAAAAUAAAUCUCUCCAGUAUAAAGAAGUGAUGGAAUACUUACAGUCUGUCAUGUCAGAGGAAUCUUCAGGUGUGACUGCUGGUCAAGGGAUGGAAGUUGCAGGUGAUAUGGUUCCAACUGAAAUAAAAUUAAUGGCUGACAAAAGAUCUAUUGAUUUGUACCUCAAAUUACUUGAGUCAGGAUCUGAGAAAAAGAGAGACAUACGUUUAGUAAUAGUUGGGAAGAAAGGUGCAGGAAAAACCUCAUUGAUUAAAAGAUUGUUCUCUGAAGAGAAUACAGAUGUAACUAGUACAAAUGGAAUAGAAAUCCACACAAUAAAAUGCAAAGCAAUGUCUGAUGAUGGCAUAUGGAAUAAAUUAGAUGGAACCAAUAAAGAAACUGAAAUUCAUGCAAGACUCUUGAAACAAUACAAAGGAACAAUUGAAGCAUCAGUACAAGAAGUAACACAUGAAGUUGUUAGGGAAAACACCCUCAUAACCAUUCUGUACAAGCGUAUUGAGGAAUCAAAAGAAUCAGAAACAGUAAGCCAGCAGCCUAAAAAAAGAAUACUUCAAGUAACCACUGAAUCUCAAGUUGAACCUCCAGUAACCUCGCAGCAACGAAACCAAUCAUUAAAACAGGCAAAAUUGGAUAUUGAAACCAUGCUUAAAUCUAAUGUUGAUUUACAUGACAAAGAGGAGUAUGCCACAUUAUUGCUAUGGGAUUUUGCAGGAGAUGAAGAAUUUUACCACACACAUCAAACCUUUUUGUCCUCAGGUGCAAUUUAUCUUGUUGUAACAAAACUCAAUGAAGCUGACGACAAAAAUGCACAAGAUUUAUUCCAGUUAUGGAUGGACUCAAUCCAUUGCUACAGUAGACUGGAAGAGGACAAAAGUAAUUCUGCUGACAGCAAGACAUCAGAUGAUCUUGAUCCACCAGUAGUUAUUGUUGGUACUUGGAAAGAUGCUGUGACCUCUGAUGUAGAAGAGAUUGACGAUGCAUGCCGAGAAAACAUUUUUAAGUUUACGAAGAAUAUGUCAGAAGAUGAACUAAAACAUAUAAGGCAAGAAUACUUCAUUUCCAAUACAGAAGAUGACCCCAGUGUAUUCCAGCAAAUCCGAGAAGACAUCCUAAGCUUAGCUAGAAAAAUAAAAACGUGGAACAAAGUUUACCCCUUAAAAUUUAUUCAGCUGGAAAAACGACUUCAAGAGAAAAAGAAGGAGUUACCAAUUAUUUCCUUUCAUGAAAUUAAGCACAUCUCUACUAAUACACCUAAUCCACUAAAUGAUGAGGAACUCAGAUUGUUCCUGGAAUUUCACCAUGAGAUCAGAGCUUUAGUUUAUUUCAAAGAUCUGUCUUCUUAUAUUAUUUUAGACACACAGUGGUUGUCUGAUGCUUUUAAAUGUAUAGUCACAGCUAAGAAAUUUAGAGCUUUUAGUACUAAAAAUAGAACAAAAUGGGAUGAAUUGUAUAGCAGAGGCAAAUUACAUAGUGAGGUUUUAGACGACAUAUUUAGAAAAAGUGAAAACAUUUUUGCCAAACACAAGGAUCACAUCCUGAACGUAAUGGAGAAAUUUGAUAUCAUUAUACGUCCUAACAUAUCAGAAACUCAAAGAGACGCUGGUGAUGACAAACCUCUCUAUUAUGUACCUUGUAUGAUUAAAUCAGAACCUGAGUGUGAUAUAUACGAAAUGUUUAAUGUUACAGAAAACACAUGUAAUAAGUCCACCUGGUUAUGUUAUAAGUUUAGGUUUCUUCCACCUCAUUUAAUGAAUCAUUUAAUUGCGUCACUGUGCAGGAAAUAUAAAGUUGCAGAAGUUGUCACGAAGGAACAGAAAAGACAAAUUGCUCUCUUCAGAGAUUCAGCUGUCUUUGAGUUACAGAAAACGACAAAAUUAGCAAAAUUGCAUAUACUGAAAUGUCCGAAUUGGAUUCAAAUUCAGGUUUGGCAAUUUGAGAAAGGACGUCAUAUGUACAAAUACAUUGACGACUUUGUGACAGAGGAAAUUGUCAAGAUAAUAAGCACAAGAUUUAAGAUGUCUAAUGUGAAAUUUAAGAAAAAGUGGGAAUGUGGCCAAACAAGACCAGAGUCUGUAACAGGAUUGUUUGACUAUCCUGAAGAUCAGGAUACAAAAUAUUAUUGUGAGACAUGUAGAAUUGCACAUGAGUUCACAGGUGAAUGGUCAGAUCUACAAUAUAGAACAGUUGAUUUGUUACAGAGUUCUGCAAACGUUCCAAUAUCUAAUCCUUACACAGAAAGCUCAAGUCAAAUCCAAACUACGGUUCAAUCCACCAAGGUAUUUGUCCGGGUCCAAGCUGGUGAGAGAGUAUUUUCAAAUGCCAAUGAAGGGGCAACAGGAACAGCCAGUUCGGCAGGGUUCACCAAAGAGGAAAUCAAUUUUACAAAGAUGGGAAUGAUCGUGCUGAAUAUUCUCGCUGAUGCUUUAUAUGACCUCUUAAAACCAGACAAACCAAAUCUAUGUCCAAGAAGCGAUUGUGAUAUAUCACACUUAUACCAGGAGCACUUUAAACUUAAAAAACAUAUUCCAACUAAUGGAUGGGGAGGGAAAUGGCAGAAAAUUCAGGUUACAGACAUAACUGUUGGAGAUGAUAUUGAGCGCAUAAGACUUACAAGGAAUGAACUACAACACUCAACGGCAGCUAAACUUGGAGAUACACGUUUUAACGAGUUAUGUAACAUAUUAAGUGACCUCUUAAUACGGUUCGACCAAUUUAACAAACCACAAAAGCUGUAUACACAUGAGCUUAAGGAUAUUUUGGCUAAUACAAUUUCAGAUGAGGAUGUGAAAUUGGUUAAAAAAGAAAUAUCGGAAAUUACUGUUGAGGUAGAAAUUGAACAACAAAUCAAUGUUCUAACGCAAUAGAGAAAUAAAGUUGUUCUCAUCAUUUGUAUGGCAAACAGUUAUUUUUGUAGUUGAUGAGAAAUACACAUAUAACCAUAGAAACAGAUUUGUAGAAGACCUUGUGCAUAGAAAGCGACCAUCUUUAUAUUUGAUAGCAAUGUAAUGCUACCGAUAAAAGUCAGACUACAUCUUUCUAUUCAUACAAUCAUGUAGAGUAAUUCUCCCGAAUUAUACUUGUCACUGUUGGAGCAUGAUCUGCAUACCUUUUCGGAGCACCUGCGAUUCCCUCCAAGUUUUAGUGGGGUUUUUGGUGCUCAAUCUUUAGUUUUCAAUAUUGUGUUUUGUAUACAGUCCUUGGAUGGUGUAAACUUCCCACUGACACCAUACACCAUUACACCAUUCACCAUACACCAUUACACCCUUGUGCCAUUACACCAUACACGUUACUACUUUGCACCAUACACCUUACACAUUACACCAUAAUGCAAUUUAAUUUCAAAGAAAGCGUGCGACUACAAAAUUAUUUAUUUAUUUUAAAAAACGAAUUUUGAUCACAAUAUUGUAAAUUAAAGUAUAAAAUUAAAAACCAGUUCUUUAUGUCAUUUUGUAAAUUCAUUUUAUUUUUAACCAAAACAUACAUCAAUUUUUGCAUAGUUUUAAAUGUCGUACACCAUUCAUUCACACCAUUCCCGAUCGCACGUUACACCAUUACAUCAUUCCCCUUACACCAUACACCAUAGCACCAUACACCUUCUACCAUUGCACCAUAUGCCAUACACCAUUACACCAUACACGUUUUUUUUGGGAAGUUUACACCAUCCAAGGGCUGUACUGUUGUUUAAUUUUUUGUCUUUUUUAUUUUUUGCAAUGGCGUUGUCAGUUUAUUUUUACUCAUGAAUUUGAAUCUCCAUUUUGGUAUCUUUCGCCUCUCUUUUAUAAAAAAAAAUUGUGAAGAUGAAAAAGUGGACUAGAGAGGAAAUAUUGGAAUAAAAUUGACAACUAGAUCAAUUUUGGUCUGUUAUAGUAAUUUUUUUUAAAUUUAAUCACAUGCAGUAAAAACUGUUGUGUAAAUAUUGCCAAAACUAUAAACAUUGUGCACAUAAAUGAAUAUUUAUUUAUACAAAUGUAUAUAGGAGUAUGAGAAACAUGAAACAUAGAAAAAAAACAUUUAGGAAAUUUUGUGGUAUGUUUUUCUGUUGAUAUAUGAAUUAUUUUUAUGAUUUUGUCCUUCAGGGAAUUAAGUAUAGAUGGUGGUUAGUUUUCGUCAAAUAAAUUCCCAGCUUUUGUAUCUAGCAAUUAACCAUGAAGGAACAAACAUGUGACAAUGUGUGUUUUCUAACCUUUUGAACUUUUUGUCGUUAAGAUAGACUGAUAACCAAUUUAACUCUUAAAAUGUAUGCAAAAAGAUAGCUAUUUGAAUCAACCAUUGGGCAUAAAGCAAACACUCAAUCAAUCAAUGUUUAGGUCAGUUCCCUUCAGGUUAAAGAGGUAAAGCCAAUGUUCCCUUUUCUAUACUAACCGCAAACAAAUUAGAAAAAGUAUGAGUCACCAGUAUUUUUUAAGCUACAGAUUUUGAAUACGCUAUACUAAAACAAACUUUGUUUUAUAGAAAGAAAAACUGAACGAUAGAAUUUUAAGGUAAAAUAUGAGAAGACAUCUCUUAUAAUAAGCUUUCAGAAAAUAAAAAAAACGGGGUCACUGAACUCUGGUUUUUUGAUUCAGCCAUGCUGGAUCUAUGUGAUCACUCUGGUUUUGGAGAUGGUGCAAAAUUCAAUGUUGAAGACAUGUCAUGAAAAUAAUUAUGUGUUUCUAUGACUUGCAGAAACUUUAUACACCCUUUUAAUCAUCAACUGCCAACUUUUAAUAUGUUAUUUGUCUUUAAAUUAAGAAAAGGUUGGGCGAACAACUUCUUUAUUUUAGAUAAACACUUGUAUAUAGUUCCUGUGUAAAUCAAAAUUUAUAUUAAAUUGCCAUUUAUUAAUUAAUGUCACAUGAAUGUGGAAAAUGUGAUUUAUCAAAUUUUAGCCGUUGAUAAGAAUAAUAAAAGUGUUUUAUCAGUAUCUGAUGUUCCUGUAAGCCAUUGAAUAAAAUUUGGUUCAAGAUGUGUAUUCAUAUCAGAGUUGAUUCCCACACUUUUUUAAAUGCUAUUAUUCCCAAUCUUGCAUAAGGCAAAUCAAAUUGUUGGUACAAUACCAGUAUGAUGGACAGCUGCCACGAUUAUCAAACAAUUGCACUCAAAGGUGUAAGUAUUAUUUGGAUUAAACUCCACUCAAAUGCAGUCUUAAUUGACCACAGUUAUAUUAAUAUAUCAUGACAGUUGAUAAUCAUACAGGUAUUGAGGUCAAGAAUUUGUGUAUUCAAUGUAUUACACAUCUUACUGAAUACACCAAAUUUUGACCACAAUAGUUGUAAAAUCAGUGUCAUAAUCUUCUGACAUAAGUUAAUAAUUAAGGUCUAUUUAAGUUACAAUUAUCUCUCUUACAUGUCUUACCUGAGCAUUUUCUGUCACAAAUUUAUUUGUAUAUUCCCCAUUAUAAUGAUAUUUAACAGUAAUUGGAAUAAAUUCAGCAUGAGGUAUUUGUAUAUUCCCCAUUAUAAUGCUAUUUAACAGUAAUUGGAAUAAAUUCAGCAUGAGGUAUUUGUAUAUUCCCCAUUAUAAUGCUAUUUAACAGUAAUUGGAAUAAAUUCAGCAUGAGGUAUUUGUAUAUUCCCCAUUAUAAUGCUAUUUAACAGUAAUUGGAAUAAAUUCAGCAUGAGGUAUUUGUAUAUUCCCCAUUAUAAUGCUAGUUAACAAUAAUUGGAAUAAAUUCAGCAUGAGGUAUUUGUAUAUUCCCCAUUAUAAUGCUAGUUAACAAUAAUUGGAAUAAAUUCAGCAUGAGGUAUUUGUAUAUUCCCCAUUAUAAUGCUAGUUAACAAUAAUUGGAAUAAAUUCAGCAUGAGGUAUUUGUAUAUUCCCCAUUAUAAUGCUAGUUAACAAUAAUUGGAAUAAAUUCAGCAUGAGGUAUUUGUAUAUUCCCCAUUAUAAUGCUAUUUAACAAUAAUUGGAAUAAAUUCAGCAUGAGGUAUUUGUAUAUUCCCCAUUAUAAUGCUAUUUAACAAUAAUUGGAAUAAAUUCAGCAUGAGGUAUUUGUAUAUUCCCCAUUAUAAUGCUAUUUAACAAUAAUUGGAAUAAAUUCAGCAUGAGGUAUUUGUACAUGUGUAUUUGAAUACAGGAAAUGUAUUUUUCCUUAAUGAAAAAUGAACACCAAUUUAGAUAAAAAGCUAAUUAUUUAUUUUUGUUGUUGCUGAGAAAGUGCAUUUUUAAUGGCUCUUUUUGGAAAUUAUUAAGCCAAUUAUUAUUAAUGGCAUAUAAAAAGUAUGCUACAGUCAUUUGAAGAUUUCCCUUAACAUUCUUGUCCAAAAUCAUUGAGUUUCAAAUGUUUCGAAAAAAAGAUAUAAAAAAAUCUGACAGUGUCUUGAAUUGAAAUACCAAAAUAAUUUGCAUUAAUCUUUUGGCAAUAGAAUGAAAAUUUUACAGUGAGAUUAUGGAAAUGAAGAUAAUAAAAUAAUUAUUGAAAGUGUGGUCAGAAAAAAAUGCCAGACUAGCUACAAAAUUGGCUGAAUCACAACAUCCAUGAUGCUUUGAUUUUUGUGUUUUUUUCUAUUAAACAAACUGGGUAAAUUUAAUUAACGUUUACAACAUAUUCCUUUUAUAAAAGUUAGAAUAUAUGAGUUCUUACCCUUUAUAUGGCUAGGUUGAAAUUUUUUUUAUUGUAUUUCUUAAAGCAGUAUAAGAUAAAACACAUAUCUUUUUUUCAUUAAGAUGAAAAGACUUACAAAUGAACUACAUUUACAUUCCACUCUAAUUUGCACAAUUCAUUAAAAAUCUAUACCGAUUGUUAUCUAUUAUUUUACAAUCCAAGAUGGGGGAAUACUCCCGAUCUACCUAAAAGCGAGUGAAUUUAAAUUGACCACCGUAGAUUUGGACUCCCACUUUAAAAACAUUGAAUGCUUGAUCAGGGCAGACAUGUUGCUUAAGAACAGGCCGCAUUGGUUUUCUCUCAAUACAAAGUAUCAAAUUAAAUAAAAAUUUGGAAUUUCACAAGUUUUUAAAGGACAAUACAUAGGACAAUAUCUGAUAAGAAAAAAAUGAAUAUUUUCUUCUUUAUUUUUGAAAAAAAAAAAAAAAAAAUUUGUCCGAAUGAAUCAUAUGUUUUUAGUGUUUAUGUAUAUUUAGACAUUUAUGAUUUUGUGACAUGCUCAGAAAUACAACAUGCGAGUUGUUAGAAUCUCAAGUUGCCCACAUCAGGCUGUGAUACUGUUAAAUUUAGUAAAAGACUUCUUUUGAAUUUGACCAGGUGAUGCAUAAAUUAAGGAGAAAUUGUCCAUAUCUCUUAAUCGGACUGAUUGGUUUUUGUUUGCUAAACGUCAAGUGGCAAAUAUAUCAUACAUAUUCAGUACGAGAACAAAUUAACAAUGAUUUUAAAAGAUAUGAAACUUAAAGGAGGUAGGAUAUAUCAAUUAAUUAAAAACAAUAAAAUCAAAAAGAAGAACGACAGACAGACAACAAAAUACUACACAGGAAACAAAUUCAAAUAAUAUGAAUAUAACCCCUACCAACAUGAUUUUUUUUAACAUGCAGAUUCCAAGGUAACGGAACGCAUAAAAACAAAUCCCCCUACCUGGACGCAUAUUUUGGCUUCAAGGCGACCAGUCCGUGCUCUUACACCUGACUAGACAACUAAGAAUGAUUGCAUAUUAGGCUUGACUUUUAUCCGGGAAGGAUUCAAAACUUUCUUAUUUAGCGUAUCAAUUACGAUUUUGCAAAUUGUCGGUCGCCUAUCAUUUUGAAUCCCAUGAUUAAAGUUAAUUGAACAGUGUUUGGUGAUACUGGCUAUUCCUAUAUUAUGACAGACCAGCUUGUUCCUAACUCAGAUUGGCCUAUGUCUUCAGUACUUAUGCGCCUACAUAUCGAAUUUAGACCAGAAUGGCAUUACAUUAUAACUUAUGGUAAAUUCACCAAAAUCUUUAAAUUAUAGAAUUUUUAAAGAAAAUUUUGAGUUUAAGAAUGGUCUUAAUAGAAACAGGUCGGUGGAAUGUUGAAGUAUAUGUUUCUAAUGCAAUAUUAACUAUUUCGGUGUUGAAAACCAUAUUCUAGAAUGAUAAACAUUUGCAAUAAAUAAGAAAAAGCUAACGGAUGAAAAUGUAUUGCAAAGACCAAAUAUUGUGAAAUGCAAAGAAAUUAUGAGUUGAACAGGAAAGUUUAAAUAAUUAAAAAAAUGGUAGAUUUAUAUGAUUAAUAAAUAAAUCAGUUGUUUUCAAGAACAUAACAACACUUCCCCUUCUGGUUUAUAUAGUACAUAUAUGUGAGUUUUGGUAUUUACAGAUAAUUCUUGUUUAUAUUGUACAUAUAUGUGAGUUUUGGUAUUUACAGAUAAUUCUUGUUUAUAUUGUACAUAUAUGUGAGCUAAUGUGUUUACUGAUAAUUUUUGUAUGUAUUGUACAUAUAUGAGAUUUUUGGUGUUUGCAUGUAAUUCUUGUUUAUAUUGUACAUAUAUGUGAGUUUUGGUGUUUACUUAUAAUUCUUGUAUAUAUUAUACAUGUAUGUGAGCUUUAGUGUUUACUUAUGAAUUCUUGUUUAUAUUGUACAAAUAUGUGAAAUUUGGUGUUUACUUAUAUAUUUUUGGUUAUAUUGUA